GUGAUCGAACAAAGAAUAGAGUAACUCAGUGAGACUGGGAGACUGUUGUUAUAGGCAAGGAAGAGAGGAUGAUGAAGAUUAAUUAUCAAAUUAUCAUCAAAUCCCCUUUCCCUAAAGGUGAAAGUGCUCAUGGCCCAGGAAUGGGGAGCCAGGUGUGACUGGGCCCAGCUGGGAUCAAAUUUGUCCCUGUCUUUUAGGUUUAUAUCAAUAGCACUUUGGGGCUUUCUGCCAGUCGAUAAUUUACUCUUCACCUGUAUUAGCUUCCUCUUGCUGUGUAACAAAUUAUCAUAAGCUUAGUGGCUUGAAAAAACACCAUUUGUUAUCUCACAGUUUCUGUGGGUUUGGAGUACAUGCAUGGGUUAGUAGAUUCCCUUGCUCAGGAUCUCACAAGACUGCAAUCAAGAUGGCGUCAGGGCUUCAUUCUCAUCUGGAGGCUGGACCAGGGAAGAAUCUACUUCCAAGCUCAUUCAGGUUGUCGACAGAAUUCGGUUCCUUGCAGCUGUAGGACUCAUGGUGGCUUCUUUCUUCAGUGUCAGCUUGCUUUUGGAAAGCACUUUGUAGUUUGCAAAUGCUUUUCCAUUCUAAAAUUAACCACAAAUAUGCUCUUCUCAGCUAAGGGUUUUAUCAUUCAAACAGUUGCCCAAACCAAAAUCCUGAAGGACACCCUUGAUUUCUCAAUUCAUCAGCAAGUCCUGUGGCCUAUACCUCCAAAAUAAAUCCUGAAUCCAAUAACUAGUUUCCAUUUCACUGUUACCAUCAUUGUCUAAGCCACUGGCAUCUCUCACCAAGCCUACUGCAAUGCCCUUCUCACUGCCCUUCCUGCUUCCCCUCUAGACUUCCCCAAAUCCAUUCUCCACUAAGCAGCCAGGAUGGUCUAUUAAAGGUGAAAAUAAGGUCAUGUCACUUCCUUACUCAAAAUCUUCCCAUGACAUCUCACUAUUAUUGAAAUAAAAUCCAAAUUCCUAUCCUUCCAUGAUCUGGCCCCUGCUAACUUCUGAUUUUAUUUCCUACCACUCUUCCUCCUGGUCAUGAACUUUUGGCCACACUGACUUCCCCGAGUGAACUCACUGUGCCUGGACCUGCACAUGACUGCCUGCUUUUUAUUAUUCAGGUCUCAGUUCCAUGUCAUCACUUUACAAAGAACAUCCCUGACCACGUUUUGCAAAAUAACAACCACCCCUCAGUCUAAAAUCAUCCUUCAUCUCAUUACUCGAUUUCCUUUUUCUCAUAGCGCUUAUUACUAUACAAAAUAUCUCCUCCCUUCCUCCCUCCCUCCCACCGUCCCUCCCACCCUUCCUUCCUUCCUUCUUUCCUUCCUUCCUACCUUCCCACCCACCCUCCCUCCCUCUCCUUCCCUCUACCUUUCUCUCUCCUUACUUACGUAUCUGUUUUUUACAUAAUUAUUCCUUUCUCUUCCUUCUAAAAUAUAAGCUUCAUGAGAGACUUUCAGCACUAUGCCUGGCACAUAAUAGAUGUUCAGUAAAAAUUUUUGGAAUAAAUGAACCUUGUAAUGAGAGCAAGAAAGGGAUUAUUAAUUCCUAUUUUAAUGAAAAAUAUUAGGUCACUUGCCCAAAGUGAAAGUAUUGUCCAGUGUUUACCCAUGAGCUCUCCAAAGGUCAGGACCAUGUUUUAUACAUUUUUGUAUAAAUGUAUACACAGUCUCUGGCAUAUAGUCCCUGGGAAUAGGACAGAGUAGUAGUUAGUGAGUUUGAGUCCUGACUCUGCCAUUUACUGUGUGACCCUGGGCAGGAUAUUUAACUUCUUUGGGGCAUGAUUUCCUCAUGUGUGAAGUAGAAAUAAAAAUAGUACAUACUUCAUAGGAUUAUGAAGAUCAACUCAAUUAAUACAGGCAAAGCUGUUAGCUCGGUGUUUGACACAUAUUGAGGGCUACAACGCUUUCUGCAUUUCUUCUUUUAGUUUGUCUCCUUUCUCUCUUUGUAAGCAUUGAAUUAAUUUUGAGCUAAAUCAUUAAACUUUCUACACUUUUCAGACUGUUUCAAACGAGUCAUCUUACUUGUUUUCAGUUUCUCUAAUCCCAAGCACGGCUUUUUUCUUGACUUCAGACACAAAUGUGAGUGGCAUUUGCUCCAUGCAAAAUAGCAAUGCCGACCCAACUGAAAAGGUGCUCCCCCUCCUGGCUUUCUGUGAGCUUCAUGGUUGAGAGGUGCAGCCCAGAUGAAGAGGGAAGGAACUGCCAAGGCUGGAUAAGGUUUUGCCUUCAAUUGUGAGCAGAAAUGUUUCAGGCCUUAGGCGGUUUCCAGGGAGUCCAGCUUCGUGCUGGAUCUUCAGACUCCUUCUUAUUCUAUCAAAAUGGAGAGAAUGCUCCUUUCCCUCCUCUCCUUUUAUCCUCUUUCCUCUUUCUUUUCUCUCUUUACCCAGUCACUGCCAUCUUCCCUCUUCUGCUUCCCCCAUCUAGGUCAAUACAAUACCUCAACCCAAAAUCUGUCUGCCUUUGAGUCUAUUUACCACGCCUCCUGCCAGAGAUGCAGCAAUGAGAAGCAGGGUUGCAGAGCAUCAGAUGGGAGUCAGGCAGUUCUGUGUGCAAAUUCCUGGUUUCACUGCUUAGUCGCUCUGUGACCUUGGGCAAGUUCUUUAACUUCUUGGUGCCCCUAUUUCCUUAUUAGUAAAAUAAGAAUAAUAGCUACCUCACGGUGUAGUGUGCUUGUGAAGAUUUAAGAGAUAAUCUGUGCAUAUUAAUAAGCACUUAGUAGGUGUCUAAGAUAUAUUAGUUUUAUCUCCCAUCCCUAUGGCCCAACCAAAUGGACAGAUAUUAAUUUCAAAUCAGUUUCAAAUCAGAUUUGAAGGGUUUUUGGUUGUCUAUUCAUUUUUUAAUGUAAAGUUGAUUUAUUUUAUUGCUAAUUUGAAAACAAAUGACUUUAUAUUGGAAAAAAACUACCCCUUACUUACUGCAAAAGUAAGUCAACCUAAUGUUCACAGCAACUUUCUUCAUAAUAGCCAAAGACUAGAAGUAAUCAAAAUGUUCUUCAAUAGGUGAAUGCAUAAACUGUUGUUAUAGCGUAGCCAGACAAUGGAAUACAAUGGAAAUCAGCAAUUAAAAGGAAUGAACUAC
rnacentral:lncRNA from 1 species